GUGGGGAAUAUUGGACAAUGGGCGCAAGCCUGAUCCAGCAAUGCCGCGUGGGUGAAGAAGGUCUUCGGAUCGUAAAGCCCUUUCGACAGGGACGAUGAUGACGGUACCUGUAGAAGAAGCCCCGGCUAACUUCGUGCCAGCAGCCGCGGUAAUACGAAGGGGGCUAGCGUUACUCGGAAUUACUGGGCGUAAAGGGCGCGUAGGCGGCUCUGUUAGUCAGGCGUGAAAUUCCUGGGCUUAACCUGGGGACUGCGCUUGAUACUGCAGGGCUUGAGGCCGAGAGAGGGGGGUGGAAUUCCCAGUGUAGAGGUGAAAUUCGUAGAUAUUGGGAAGAACACCGGUGGCGAAGGCGACCACCUGGCUCGGUUCUGACGCUGAGGCGCGACAGCGUGGGGAGCAAACAGGAUUAGAUACCCCUGUAGUCC
rnacentral:rRNA from 1 species